GAGCCCUAAUUCCAUUCCCAGAUACUCCGUCCAGGUUAUUGUUACUUUUGAGUUCUAACGCCAGGGUAUCCUCUUCUCUGAUUCCUCUCCAUCCGACCACCCUCAAUACCUCGUGUUUCUUCUUCCUUUUCUUUUUCUUGCUUCCUUUGGUCAUUCUUGGCCCUAAUUCCCAAUUAUCGACCCUUUUUUUGUCCUGUCAAUUAUUAAUUGACGGUGUUACUGUUGAUCUUUUCUGCUGCAGAUCCAUGAGUACCUUCCAUAAUUUGGUAGCUAUGGGUGUUGGUGCUGUGUUAGGUGUUGUCACUGUAAUAACAGCUGCGUCUCUAAGACGCCAUCUGGACAGGAUAGAUGAUGAGGUGAUUUGGGAAAAGUACCAAAGCGCAGUCAGAAAAAGCCACGAGGAAAAUACUCGCUGACUGUUGUCUCCACCAAAAUGGCUCACACUUUUGCGUCCUAUUAGCCAUUAGAUGUUAGAAAUCUCCAUGUUUUUUUUUUCUGGGUUGUCGUUCUGCUGUCGUAUUUAAUAUUUAGCAGCUAGUACCUAUGUAGUCACCACGAAGUUCCGAGGAGAAUGGUUUUGCUUUAUUAGUCUCGGAUUGUGGCUGUUUUGGUAUCUCGUCUUAUAAGUAAAGCUGUUCUUCGUACAAUUUUCAUAUUUAUGUUGCGUUAUGAUUGAAUGGCAGAACUAGGA